UAGAAACAAGGAGGGCUGGAAAGAAAACUCAAAGCUCUUACCCGUCUGUAAGCUCCUAGGCUUGGCACCCAGGGCUGCAGCUCCUUCCCCAAAGUUCAAGUGCGGAGUGCCUUCAAGGACAGCGACAAUCCCCUAGGAAGUGGAGUAAAGGGAACCUCAAGGGGAGUCCUCCCCACCCCCCGCUGUCCAGGCCAUCA
ensembl:processed_transcript Gm20490 predicted gene 20490